UACCAGUGGUGAUUUGUUACCAGAUUGCGGACCACUAUAAAAAUUCUCGCUAAAAGGUCAGGAUGCAA
rnacentral:ncRNA from 1 species